ACAUCAGUGUAAACACUUCAAUAAAUCACUUUAGAAAGACAACCCAAAAAUUUAGCAACUUAAUAUUAUUUUGACCACAUUAAGUACACGCAUGCGCUAUCGGGAACUUUCCCUUAUACGACCUCCAACAGUGUCCACAGUUGACAGUACUCAUUAUAUAUACUGCUCAUGUAUGUAUGGGUAUGGGUACACUAUACUCUAUGUGCAAAGUGGCACGUUUUCGACUUGACGUGAUUUUCUUUCGCCGGCAACACUGGCCAAAUAUAUCUCGCGACUUUUCUUAUUUUCUUUGCGUGACUCGAAUUCGAUAUGAUUGUUGAAGCAAUAUGGAUUCUGUUUCGCAGAAAAUAUUAGAAUGAAAGACAAACUGUUGAUAUCAAAAAUAAGAAUAAGGUUAAAAUUCUCCAAGAUAUGAGAAUAGAAACUCUAAAAGUCUGUUAGAUCAAUUGAUUAAAAAUCCAUUUCGUGAAAAAGUAGAAAUAAACCUUCAAACAUGUCGAUGAGCUUGAGAACAUCUUUGUGGAGAGCAAAAGCUUCUCUUUCCUCUCAAGCUCGUGUUCUCUUCAGACUUUAUUCCUCCCAGCGAGAAAAGCCAGUUGAGAAGAGAUACACCGAUACCAUUUUACUACCAAAAACAAACUUUCAGGCUAGAAUAACUGGUAAAAAACGAGUUGAAAUGGAUAAAUAUUUGCAAGACAAAUGCGGCUUUUCAGAAUUAUAUAAUUGGCAAAGGGCUAAUUUAGAAGGUCCUGAUUUUGUACUUCACGACGGACCUCCCUAUGCCAAUGGAGACCCUCAUAUGGGACACACGAUAAACAAAGUACUAAAAGACAUAACUAUUAGAAGUAAAGUGAUUAAGGGUCAGAGAGUGCACUAUGUUCCUGGAUGGGAUUGUCAUGGUCUACCCAUAGAGCUAAAAGCUCUUACAAGUGCUAAAAAGAGAGUUUCUGAAUUAACACCUAUGCAGAUUCGAGCACAAGCUCGUAAAUUUGCAGAAGAUGCUGUUAAUAAGCAGAGACAAGUAUUUUCUUCUUGGGGAGUUAUGGCUGAUUGGAAAGACAAUGGCUGUUACUUCACAAAUACUGUUGCUUAUAUAGUCAAUCAAUUAAAUCAAUUUUACAAUCUGUACGAGAAGAAUCUGGUAUACCGAGAUUUCAAGCCUGUGCAUUGGUCUCCUUCAUCCAGAACUGCACUGGCAGAAGCUGAGUUGGAAUAUAGAGAUAAUCACCAAAGUAAAUGUGCAACUGUUCGACUACCUAUAGUUGAGCUGCCUUCAAAGUUAGCUGCAUUUCAAGGGAAGUCAAUAUUUGGUCUCACUUGGACAACAACUCCUUGGACUUUAGUCGCUAAUCAAGCGCUAGCCUAUUCUCUAGAUGCUGACUACUGCUUAGCAGAGGAUGACGAGGGAAAUUUGUAUAUACUUGCAGUAGAAUUACUAGAAAAGAAUAUUGAAAAAAUUGGACAGCUUAAUGUUGUUACAACGUUUUCAGGGAAUGAUUUGGCUGGAGCAAAGUAUUCGCAUCCAAUAACUGGCAUCACAUUACCGUUUUUACCUGGAGAUCACGUAAAUACUGAACAAGGUACAGGCUUAGUACAUACUGCUCCUGCACACGGACAAGAAGAUUUUCUCGUAGCAUUAGAAAAUAGUAUACCUGUAUUAUCAUUGGUCGACGAAGAAGGCAAAUACACAGCAGAAGCAGGCUCUGAUUUUCAUGGGCUCAAAGUUUUGGAGCAAGGCACGGACGCAGUGAUCGCGCGAAUCAAUAAGAAUAUUCUCCAUACCGAGACGAUAAGUCACAGCUAUCCUUAUGAUUGGAGGACAAAGAAGCCUAUAAUUGUACGUGCUAGUCAUCAGUGGUUCAUCGAUACCAAUUCUAUAAAAGAUCAGGCUAUGAAAUGCAUAGAGAACGUUAAUAUAUAUCCUGCGCAACACAGGACUUCAUGGACCAAUGCGCUGCUCACGCAAUUGAAGCAAAGACCAUAUUGGUGUAUUUCUCGCCAAAGAGUCUGGGGUACACCGAUACCCGUUUUGUACUACAAAGACACUGGAAAGAUUUUCAUCACAAAGGAAUGGAUUGAGAGACUGUGUGAAUUAUUAGAGAAAUAUGGCCCCGAUUGCUGGUGGGAGUUACCAGUAGAGAAACUGUUGGGUAAAAGAUUAUGCGCAGAACUGAAUCUGUCUGGCUCGGAAUUCAGAAAAGGCGAUGAUAUCCUGGAUAUUUGGUUUGAUAGCGGUAUUUCGUGGUCAGCUGUACUGCCCGAAAAGAAAGCAAAUCUGUACAUGGAAGGGAUGGAUCAAUUCACUGGCUGGUUCCAGUCGUCACUUUUAACGUCCGUUGCUUUGCAAGACUGUGCACCUUACCAAGAUCUAUUUGUACACGGAUUCGCCGUUGACGAAAAGAACAAUAAAAUGUCGAAAUCGCUCGGAAACGUUGUUGAUCCAGAGGAGAUAGUCAAAGGCGGAAAAGAUAUGAACAAGAAGCCAGCAUACGGAGUCGAUGUAUUGAGGUGGUGGGUAGCUAAUCACGGAACGCAACACACGCUUGUGCCAAUGAAAAAUUCGUUGCUGCAGGGAAGCGCAGAUACAGUCCACAAACUUCGUUUAGUUUUUAGAUUUCUCUUAGGUGCCCUACACACCUAUGACGAGAACAAAAAUAUCACCGUUGAGCCUCAGUAUCACUAUUUGGACAAAUAUAUGCUCCAUCAGUUGUACCAUUAUCAUCAAGAGAUUCAAUCUCUGUAUGAGAAAUAUCAGUAUCACAACGUCAGCAAGACGGUCGUCAAUUUUAUAACAAACGACGUAUCGGCAGUAUACUGUCACAUGAUAAAGGAUAGGAUUUACUGUGAGAAAAUAGAUUCGCCUUACAGGUUGGGUGCUUUGGACGUCAUCGGCGAAAUUCUGUCAAUCACCACUCGGUCCAUAGCGCCUAUCUUACCUCACUUGGCAGAGGAAGUCUGGCUUCAUCACCCCGAAAAUCUGGCAUCCGUCCCAAUAUUCCACACUCAGCACAGGUCUCUAGAAAGUUGGAACAAUUUGGAGUAUAAGGAGAUUAUAGAGAAAGCUCUAGAUUUGAGGAGUGAAAUAAACAAACUAACCAGUCAAAACACGUGGCUCUCGAAAGCUACAGUCAAGGCCAAUUCUCAGGACUUUAAACUACUAUCGAGCCUACACAAAGAUGAGACAUCCUCAUUAUCGGAACUCUGUGAUAUCUGUCAAGUAUCUUCGAUAACGUUACUGCAAGACGAUUCUUGUGACCACAUGAACGUCAGUCUGGAAGACAUCAAGGGUCAGCUAUGCAAAAGAUGCCGGCGACAUCCGGAACCUGCACCCGAGGAAAUUUGUGACAGAUGCACCGAAGUUUUGAACGAUGCGUAAUCUGACCGUAAUGCGAUGACUGAAUAUGAUUGAUUUUUUACGUUACAUAAUGAUUGUACAUACAGGUGUAAAUGUUGCAUCUAUUUGAAGUGGAAACGGCGUUGACUCUGUACAGCAAUUAAAAUUUGAACGUUUCAAUCAACAAAGUGAUAAGGCAUAAUAAAUAAAAUUGUAUCUUGAGCGACGGACUAAGAGGAACAAAGACUUGGGGAAGUUAAAAAAAUAAAUAACAUUGCAUUAUA